rnacentral:tRNA from 1 species
AUUAGGGUAGCUUAAAUAAUUAAAGUAUAAUAUUGAAGAUAUUAAGAUAAGUAGUUACUUUCCUGGUA